AUCCAGCUGACGAGCGCAAAAUAGGACGAAACGCGUAUCCUGGAU
rfam:Schistosoma haematobium scaffold1336_8, whole genome shotgun sequence.